rnacentral:rRNA from 1 species
UACAGAGACUGCAAGCGUUAUUCGGAUUCACUGGGCGUAAAGGGUGCGCAGGCGGUUGGGUGUGUCAGAUGUGAAAUCCCGAGGCUCAACCUCGGAACUGCGUCUGAAACUACUCGACUAGAGUACUGGAGAGGGUAACGGAAUUCACGGUGUAGCAGUGAAAUGCGUAGAUAUCGUGAGGAACACCAGAGGCGAAGGCGGUUACCUGGACAGUUACUGACGCUCAGGCACGAAAGCAUGGGGAGCAAACAGG